rnacentral:tRNA from 1 species
UCCCCGGUGGCGCAGUGGUAGCGCAGCGGACUGUUAAUCCGUAUGUCGUAGGUUCGAAUCCUACCCGGGGAGCCA